rnacentral:rRNA from 1 species
UAGGGAAUCUUCGGCAAUGGACGGAAGUCUGACCGAGCAACGCCGCGUGAGUGAAGAAGGUCUUCGGAUCGUAAAGCUCUGUUGUUAGAGAAGAACGUUGGUAGGAGUGGAAAAUCUACUAAGUGACGGUAACUAACCAGAAAGGGACGGCUAACUACGUGCCAGCAGCCGCGGUAAUACGUAGGUCCCGAGCGUUGUCCGGAUUUAUUGGGCGUAAAGCGAGCGCACGCGGUUCUUUAAGUCUGAAGUUAAAGGCAGUGGCUUAACCAUUGUACGCUUUGAAAACUGAAGGACUUGAGUGCAGAAAGGGAGUGUGCAAUUCCAUGUGUAGCGGUGAAAUGCGUAGAUAUAUGGAGAAACACCGGUGGCAAAAACGGCUCUCUAAUCUGUAACAGACGCUGAGGCUCGAAAGCGUGGGGAGCAAACAGG